AUUCCAGCUCCAAUAGCGUAUAUUAAAGUCGUUGCAGUUAAAAAGCUCGUAGUUGGAUUUCUGGUGAGUUCGUUUGGCCGGCCGUAAAGGUCUGUGCCGAAAUGUUAUUCGCCAUCCUUGGUGUAAUCUUGUCCGCCAUUAAGUUGUGUGGGCUUGAGGAUGCCAUCGUUUACUGUGAAAAAAUUAGAGUGUUCAAAGCAGGCUUAUGCCGUUGAAUACAUUAGCAUGGAAUAAUAAGAUAGGACCCUGGUACUAUUUUGUUGGUUUGCGUACCUAGGUAAUGAUUAAUAGGGACAGUUGGGGGUAUUUGUAUUCCGUUGUCAGAGGUGAAAUUCUUGGAUUUACGGAAGACAAACUACUGCGAAAGCAUUUACCAAGGAUGUUUUCAUUG
rnacentral:rRNA from 1 species